GCUUUUAAUGGAGCCGGCUACGAAUGAACAUCCUCCAGUUUAUGAGACCGAUGAAAAUAUUGCCAUGGAUGGGUCUGAAAGAACUGAGACUGUGGUCGAGGAAGCAGCGGGUACAUCAGGGUCGC